AGAUUUUCUAUGGUGCCUUACAUUUCAAAUUAGCUCAAACUGAAACUUGUGCUAUGCAUGGUCUAUUAUCAACUUGUUCGGCAUGAUUGAACACUCAGAUUAAUCAGCAAUGAAUUCAAACAACAAUUGCUCAGACACAAUAGAGUUGUGAAGUUUUGCACUACAUUGUGCCUUCCUGUAGAGUUUACCUUUCAAUGAAAAACUACACUUGAAGUCAUUGCAACUGAAUAAAACUCUUAGGUUGAUUGACUAAAAAUUUUUUAAUAGUUUAACAACUUGAUUCUUUUCGUUACAGGAACUUAAGGACUGGAAUAAGUUAUUAAUAUCAAGUUCAACUGUUUCAUAUCAGCAUAGCUCUCUGUCUUUUGUCGUCCCUGAUCUGUCAUUCCUAUGAGCACUUUUGCCUCAUUAAACUUGCUCAACCAUAUGGCUUUUCAGAAAGAGACUUCUGCAGUUCAAUUUUUGUGCAAGGUAUCUAAAAUUUUUUAAUAGUUUAACAACUUCAUUCUUUUCAUUACAGGAACUUAAGGACUUGAAUAAGUUACUAAUAUCAAGUUCAACUGUUUCGUAUCAGCAUAUCCUUUAGUCUUUUGUCGUCUCUGAUCUGUCAUUCUUAUGAGCACAUUUGGCUAAUUGAACUUGCUCAACCAAAUGGCUUUUCAGAAAGGGGCUUCUUCAGUUCAAUUUUUGUAUAAGGUAUCUAACUGUACUUCUUAUAAUCAUUUAUUUCCAUUUUUGAACUAUAGUCUUGAGACCCCACCCAUGGUUGUACACUUCAAAGUACAUCCCUUUAUGCUAUCUCAAGAUAUAUCAUAAUUGCAUUUCCUUUUAUUCACUUUUUCACAGUCAGAACAGCACUGUACAAGUAAACAAGGACAGUUGUAAACAACAUAC
rnacentral:lncRNA from 1 species